rnacentral:lncRNA from 1 species
UGCAGGAGUGGAGGCAAGGAAAGCUACCUGGGUUAAGAUGGAUACGAUCUUUCAAUCCAGCUCUGAUUGCUCAAUAUUGCUCAAGAAAUGGAAACUCUUCAAGGUGAUUCUUCUCAGGAUUGCUGGUAGGAGUGAGUGACCUUGGGCAGCAGCACUGGAGAGACCCAGCUGUUCAUUUCUGUGUCAUGCUGUAUCUAUGGCCUCCCCAGGUGCAGAAUCUGACCGCCUGGCCUCUUGCACAUGCAGAGAACAGUGCUACAGCACCACAUCCGCAGACAGCUCCACUGGCUCCCUCUUCGCUGCAGGCUCCAUUUCAGGAAUUACGUGGAGGCCAGAUUGGGCUGGAUCGAUGCUUGGAGGGUUCAUGCUCAGAUCUACCCUUCCCCACUGUCUCUCCUUUCUUCAGACCCUGCCAAGGGCUCUCCACAGAUACCCUGAAGAAGACAAUGCAGCCUGGGGCUGUGUUAUUUUUUCUGGGUCCAGAUGGCGGUGGGGUCAGAGCCCAUGCAGAAGCACAGGGCCUCUGCGCAGAUGACUCCGCCAUCCCAUGGAUCCUGAGCCUCUGCCAGAUUUGGGAACUGGUGAAGAAACCCCAUCCCCAGCUAGAAGCAAGGGGAAGAGCUCCAUUACUAAGGCUCUUUGUGGAGAUUUCCUCUCACACAGCCCUUUCCUGCUUGCUGCGCUGCAGGAAAAGGG